CCUACGGGCGGCUGCAGUGGGGAAUUUUCCGCAAUGGGCGAAAGCCUGACGGAGCAAGACCGCGUGAGGGAGGAAGGCUCUUGGGUUGUAAACCUCUUUUCUUGGGGAAGAAAACUGACGGUACCCAAGGAAUCAGCAUCGGCUAACUCCGUGCCAGCAGCCGCGGUAAUACGGAGGAUGCAAGCGUUAUCCGGAAUUAUUGGGCGUAAAGCGUCCGUAGGUGGCGGUUCAAGUCUGCUGUCAAAAACAGUGGCUCAACCACUGAGAGGCGGUGG
rnacentral:rRNA from 1 species